rnacentral:rRNA from 1 species
CGUGUAGGCGGCGCGGUAAGUUGGGCGUGAAAUCCCCGAGCUUAACUCGGGUGGGCCGUUCAAGACUGCCGUGCUAGGGUGCGGGAGAGGGAAGUGGAAUUUCCGGUGUAGCGGUGAAAUGCGUAGAUAUCGGGAGGAACACCUGCGGCGAAGGCGGCUUCCUGGACCGUAACCGACGCUGAGGCGCGAAAGCUAGGGGAGCAAACAGGAUUAGAUACCCUGGUAGUCCUAGCCCUAAACGAUGAGCACUGGGUGUGGCCCCUCACGGGGCCGUGCCGAAGCUAACGCAUUAAGUGCUCCGCCUGGGGAGUACGGUCGCAAGGCUGAA